AUUAUACGAGUGUUCGAGUGGAGAACUUCGGAUCGUGUUUGCCAGAACGGCAGCAACAACACCGCUUCGUUUCGGUUCGAGCACCUGUCCUCACUUGGAAUUCUUCUGGCAUUUGAAAUUCUGUAAUACUAGAAACCAUUGAACCUGCCAAUCCCCGUGCAAGCAGCUGCAUCUUUGCCUGAGGUUGCACGAAGAAGGAAGUUCCGUUCCCCUGAUCUCAUCGGCUAACUUUCUUCAUGGGAGUCCCGGUUGUCAGCAGAAGAUUGCAACAAAGUACUCCAGGGUGAAAAUCAAGCCUUUUCGGUUAGCUGAAAUGGUGGGCCUCCUAAUCAAACAUGGCUCCAGAGCCCACGAGGAGCUCUUCAUGGAACUUCAGAUGCUUCACGAGUGUGAGCCUGCACCCACAGACAAUAUUAUCUUGAGACGAUCCUUCCAGUGAAGUGGAUUCCAGCUCCAAGAAUACUGCCAGCGA